rnacentral:lncRNA from 1 species
CCUUGGUGUGUGGCAUGCUGGGACGCCGCACGGAUGUUUGAAUAAGAAAACACUCAUCCCGUGACAGUCCCCUUCUUUGGCUAUGCUAGGUAGUGAUUACCUCUAAUAUCAAAAUACUAUGAUUGCAAAUAUUUAUAUUUAGACAAUGCUAUUUCAUAAUUAAUUAAUGAUUUUGUUUGCUAUUUUCAAUGUGUUACUG